rnacentral:rRNA from 1 species
GGACCCGCACAAGUAGUGGAGCAUGUGGUUUAAUUCGAAGAUACGCGCAGAACCUUACCAACACUUGACAUGUUCGUCGCGACUCUAAGAGAUUAGAGUUUUCGGUUCGGCCGGACGAAACACAGGUGCUGCAUGGCUGUCGUCAGCUCGUGUCGUGAGAUGUUGGGUUAAGUCCCGCAACGAGCGCAACCCUCACUUUUUAGUUGCCAUCAUUAAGUUGGGCACUCGUAGGAGACUGCCGGGGUCAACUCGGAGGAAGGUGGGGAUGACGUCAAGUCAUCAUGCCCCUUAUGCCCAGGGCUGCAAACACGCUACAAUGGCUGGUACAGAGGGCUGCGAACCCCCGCGAGGGCAAGCG